rnacentral:rRNA from 1 species
AGUGGCGGACGGGUGAGUAACGCGUGAGAAUCUGCCUUGGGGUCGGGGACAACCACUGGAAACGGUGGCUAAUACCGGAUACGCCUUCGGGUAAAAGAUUUAUUGCCCUAAGAGGAGCUCGCGUCUGAUUAGCUAGUUGGUGAGGUAAGAGCUCACCAAGGCAGCGAUCAGUAGCUGGUCUGAGAGGACGAUCAGCCACACUGGGACUGAGACACGGCCCAGACUCCUACGGGAGGCAGCAGUGGGGAAUUUUCCGCAAUGGGCGAAAGCCUGACGGAGCAAGACCGCGUGAGGGAGGAAGGCUCUUGGGUUGUAAACCUCUUUUCUCAGGGAAGAAGCUCUGACGGUACCUGAGGAAUCAGCCUCGGCUAACUCCGUGCCAGCAGCCGCGGUAAUACGGAGGAGGCAAGCGUUAUCCGGAAUUAUUGGGCGUAAAGCGUCCGCAGGUGGCGAUUCAAGUCUGCUGUCAAAGCACGGGGCUUAACUCCGUAAAGGCAGUGGAAACUGAAUAGCUAGAGUGCCGUAGGGGUAGAGGAAUUCCCGGUGUAGCGGUGAAAUGCGUAGAGAUCGGGAAGAACAUCGGUGGCGAAAGCGCUCUACUGGACGGCAACUGACACUCAGGGACGAAAGCUAGGGGAGCGAAUGGGAUUAGAUACCCC